GCCCAGCCCUGGUGCGGCUCUGUUCUAGACUGGUCCAUUUGGAGCCUGGAACUUCACAAUUACAGCAUCAUGGAACGGUUUGAGUUGGUCCGUUCAUGAGGAACACCGUAGAAAAGUCUGUAAGAUAUCAACAGUGUCUAUGAAGAGCAGCAUUUGAGCAGAGAGUGAUAAACAAAAUGCAAGAUCACACGUUGAAAUGGGGAGAAAAUGAAAGUGAAUUAUUUGGCACCAUCCAUUCAUUCCAAUAAAUGAGCAGGUCCAUCAGCAGGACAGACUUCUAACAGGAGCUGUAAGUGGCAAGUAAAUUUAUCAAGAAAUGGAAAAUGCAAUUUAAAAUGUA